rnacentral:rRNA from 1 species
CAGUAGCCGCGGUAAUACAGAGGUCCCGAGCGUUGUUCGGAUUCACUGGGCGUAAAGGGUGUGUAGGAGGCUUGGUAAGUCAGGUGUGAAAUCCCGCAGCUCAACUGCGGAACUGCAUUCGAUACUGCCGAGCUAGAGGAUCGGAGGGGGAAGCGGAAUUCUUGGUGUAGCGGUGAAAUGCGUAGAUAUCAAGAGGAACACCGGUGGCGAAGGCGGCUUCCUGGACAAGUCCUGACUCUGAAACACGAAAGCUAGGGGAGCGAAUGGGAUUAGAUACCCGGGUAGUCCCUGUCUCUUAUAC